rnacentral:rRNA from 2 species
UACAGAGGGUGCAAGCGUUGCUCGGAAUCAUUGGGCGUAAAGGGUAGGUAGGUGGUCUCGUUUGUCUGGGGUGAAAGCCCAGGGCUUAACCCUGGAAGUGCCCCGGAAACGGCGAGACUAGAGUUCUGGAGAGGGUCGUGGAAUUCCCGGUGUAGCGGUGAAAUGCGUAGAGAUCGGGAGGAACACCAGAGGCGAAGGCGGCGACCUGGACAGAUACUGACACUCAACUACGAAAGCGUGGGGAGCAAACAGG